rnacentral:rRNA from 1 species
GCAUAUCAAUAAGCGGAAAAGAAACUAACAAAGGAUUCCCCUAGUAACUGCGAGUGAAGAGGGAAAAGCUCAAAUUUAAAAUCUGGCAGCUUUGGCUGUCCGAGUUGUAAUCUGGAGAAGUGUUUUCAGUGCAGGACCGUGUACAAGUCUCUUGGAAUGGAGCAUCAUAGAGGGUGAGAAUCCCGUCUUUGACACGGACUACCUGUGCUUUGUGAUACACUCUCAAAGAGUCGAGUUGUUUGGGAAUGCAGCUCAAAAUGGGUGGUAAAUUCCAUCUAAAGCUAAAUAUUGGCGAGAGACCGAUAGCGAACAAGUACCGUGAGGGAAAGAUGAAAAGCACUUUGGAAAGAGAGUUAAACAGUACGUGAAAUUGUUGAAAGGGAAACGCUUGGAGUCAGUCGCGUUUGUUAGAACUCAGCUUGGCUUCUGCUUAGUGUACUUUCUAAUGAACGGGCCAACAUCGAUUUCAGUCAGUGGAUAAGGGUAAGAGGAAUGUGGCACCUUCGGGUGUGUUAUAGCCUCUUAUCGUAUACAUUUACUGGGAUCGAGGUCUGCAGCACUUGUGCUUAGGAUGUUGGCAUAAUGGCUUUAAUCGACCCGUCUUGAAACACGGACCAAGGAGUCUAACAUGCCCGCGAGUGUUAGGGUGGUAAACCCUUGCGCGUAAUGAAAGUGAAAGUUGGGACCUCUGUCAUGGGGGGCACCGACGCCCGGUCCAGAACUUCUGUGACGGUACUGCGGUAGAGCGUGUAUGUUGGGACCCGAAAGAUGGUGAACUAUGCCUGAAUAGGGUGAAGCCAGAGGAAACUCUGGUGGAGGCUCGUAGCGAUUCUGACGUGCAAAUCGAUCGUCAAAUUUGGGGUAUAGGGGGCGAAAGACUAAUCGMAACCCAUCUAGUAGCUGGUUCCUGCCGAA